rnacentral:rRNA from 1 species
GCCUUGUUGUCAAUAUGGUCUCUCAAACAAGAUUAGCCUGUUAUCCCUAAGGUAGCUUGUUCUAUUAAUCAGUCAUUCUGGAUCUAAGAGAGGUUUUAGCUACUCUCUAGUUGCCCCAACUAAGCUUGCUUUUAACUUGAUUAAUUUUUAAGCUAAGCUCUAUAGGGUCUUUUCGUCUAUUUGGGUAAUUUAAGUCUCUUCACUUAAAGGCCAAUUUUUAUUAGUUAGUGUGAGACAGUAUUGCCCUCGUAUAUUCAUC